CUGACUCUGGGGGUUGGUGCUCCUCUCCAUUUCUAAGCCGAAGAGCCGGCACUGUUCAUAGACACCUCCAAGGUCAUGUGGCCAGCAUGUCUGCAUGGAGCAGCAUUACCUUCCCAUCGAAGGGUACCUAUUGAUCUACUCACAUUUGCAUGUUUUCGAACUGCUAGAUUAGCAGAAGUUGGGGCUAAUGGCGGGAGUUCAUCCCGCUCCCCGGAUUUCAACGUGGUAACCUUUCGGUCAAAAAGUUCCUCAGGUCAGUGGUUUAACCCACUGUGCCACCAGGGGCUCCAGAAAAUUUAAAUAUUUCUUCAUAAAUUCAAUAGAAAGAAUUUGAGAUUAUUUUUUUUACAAAAAUUUAAUGAGUGAAGAUAUGAAACUUUCAGCUGUUCAGGCAUAGAGUUUUGAUUGUUUUUAGGUAUUAGAAAUCUGGCUUUGAUUCUCUGAAUAUUCAACUACAAAUAUGCUGACUGGCUUCUCUUUGACAGCUACAUGGGAGGUGGGCGGUCAAGUACAACAUGAUCCUUUCCACAGCAGACAGGAUUGUUCCCAUUGGCCUAUACAAAGAUAAGAUAAUUUCAUUUGGCUGCUUUCUAUAAGAACUCACUCUGAGCUGGAACUGACAGCAAUUCUAGAUCUCCCAAAACUGCAUUUGAUACUGAAAACAGACACAUCACUGCUGUAAGAUGAUGAUGAUGAUGAUGAUGAUGAUGAUGAUGAUGAUGAUGAUGAAAAGGUAAAGGUUUCCCCUGACGUUAAGUCCAGUCUUGUCUGACUCAGGGGGUUGGUGCUCAUCUCCAUUUCUAAGCCGAAGAACUGGCGUUGUCUGUAGACACCUCCAAGGUCAUGUGGCCGGCAUGACUGCAUGGAGCGCCGUUACCUUCCCGCCAGAGCGGUACCUAUUGAUCUACUCACAUUGGCAUGUUUUCAAACUGCUAGGUUGGCAGGAGCUGGAGCUAACAGCUCACGCCGCUCCUGGGGUUUGAACCUGGGACCUUUCGGUCUCCAGCUCAGUGCUUUAAUGCACUUCGCCACCAGGGCUCCCUAUUAUUAUUAUUAUUAUUAUUAUUAUUAUUAUUAUUAUUAUUAUUAUUAUUAUAAACACAACAAGAUGAGUCCACAGCAGACACUCUGCUGGCUGUUGUAUUGGAUCACACGUCGGACACUUCCCAAGUGUCUAGGGCUGUGUGGUGUAUCGGCAAAUAGUGCGUGCAGAUCCCAGUAAGGUGGCCUUCUGCAGCUGGCAGGUGGUAAUUUUGUCAGCGCCGAUUGUGUUUAAGUGCAGGUCAAAGUCUGCACCCAGUGUGCCGAUCACCACUGGGACCACCUUGACUGGCUUGUGCCAGAAUCUUUGUAAUUCGAUCUUUAAAUCCUCAUAUCGUGUCAGCUUUUCCAGUUGUUUCUCCUCAAUCCUGCUGUCCCUGGGAUUGCUACAUCGACAAUCCAUACUUUGUAUUUUAACAUGAUUGUUAGGUCACGAGUAUUGUGCUCCAAAACUCCAUCUGUCUGAAUUCGGAAGUCCCACAGUAGCUUGACAUGUUCAUUCUCUGUAACUUUUUCUGGCUUGUGAUCCCACCAGUUCUUUGUUGCAGGCAGAUGGUAUUUGUGGCACAAGUUCUAAUUAAUCAUCUGAGUAAUGAUAUAUUAUUGUUGUUGUUGUUGUUAUUAUUAUUAUUAUUAUUAAUUCAUUUCUAUCCUGCUUUUUCCCAUGGAUGGGACUCAAAGCGGCGUACAAAGUAAAAAACACCAAUACAUAUAAAUUGACACGUCGUCUUCAAUUACGAGUGGAGUGCCGCAGGGUUCUGUCCUGGGCCCAAUUCUCUUUAACAUCUUUAUUAACGACUUAGACGAAGGGUUAGAAGGCACGAUCAUCAAGUUUGCAGAUGACACCAAACUGGGAGGGAUAGCUAACACUCCAGAAGAAAGGAGCUGAAUUCAAAACGGUCUUGACAGACUAGAGAGAUGGGCCGAAACUAACAAAAUGAAGUUCAACAGGGAUAAAUGCAAGAUACUUCAUUUCGGCAGAAAAAAUGGAAUGCAAAGAUACAGAAUGGGGGACGCCUGGCUGGACAAGCAGUACAUGUGAAAAAGAUCUUGGAGUCCUCGUGGACAACACAUUAAACAUGAGUCAGCAAUGUCAUGCGGCUGCUAAGAAAGCCAAUGGGAUUUUGGCCUGCAUCAAUAGGGGUAUAGCGUCUAGAUCCAGGGAAGUCAUGCUCCCUCUCUAUUCUGCCUUGGUCAGACCACACCUGGAAUACUGUGUCCAAUUCUGGGCACCGCAGUUGAAGGGAGAUGUUGACAAGCUGGAAAGCGUCCAGAGGAGGGCAACUAAAAUGAUCAAAGGUCUGGAGAACAAGCCCUAUGAGGAGAGGCUUAAAGAACUGGGCAUGUUUAGCCUGCAGAAGAGAAGGCUAAGAGGAGACAUGAUAGCCAUGUACAAAUAUGUGAGGGGAAGUCAUAGGGAGGAGGGAGCAAGCUUGUUUUCUGCUGCCCUGCAGACUAGGACACGGAACAAUGGCUUCAAACGAUAGGAAAGGAGAUUCCACCUGAAUACCAGGAAGAACUUCCUCACUGUGAGAGCUGUUUGGCAGUGGAACUCUCUGCCCCAGACUGUGGUGGAGGCUCCUCCUUUGGAAGCUUUUAAACAGAGGCUGGAUGGCCAUCUGUCAGGGGUGCUUUGAAUGCGAUUUCCUGCUUCUUGGCAGGGGGUUGGACUGGAUGGCCCAUGAGGUCUCUUCCAACUCUACUAUUCUAUGAUUCUAUGAUUCUAUGACACAUAACCAACUAAAACAUCAUAUGCUGAUUUUAAAAUAACCCAAUUCAGGGCCACUACCAAAAAGGCCUCUCUCUCAUUCCCACCAAUUGUUUCUGUGAUGAUGGUGGGACCAAGAGAAGGGCCUCUCCUGAUGAACUCAGGGCUCGAGUGGGUUGAUAGGAGGAGAUACGGUCCCUCAAGUAGGCUGGGCCCAAACUGUUUAAGGCUUUGUAGGCUAAAGCCAGAACCUUGAAUUGUGCUUGGAAAUAAACUGGAAGCCAAUGUAGAUGCUUCAAGAACAGAGUAGUUCUUUCUCUCUAUCCACUCCUGUAAGCAGUCUAGCAGCUGACCUUUGAACCAACUGAAGUUUCCUAGCACUCUUCUGGGGCAGCCCCAUCUAAUCUGGAUGUGACUAAGGCAAGUACUACCAUGGCCAGAUCGGGCUUUUCAAGGCAUGGGCCCAACUGGCAGACAAGCUUAACUGUGUGAAGGUCCUCCCGGCCACCGGUGACACUUGGGCCUCCAGGGUCAAUGCUGAGUCCAGGAGGACCCCCAGACUGCAAACCUGUGCCUCCAGAGGGAAUGUGACUUCAUCCAGCACAGGCUACAGCCCAAUAUCCUGAUCAACCCUACAGCUGAUCAGAAGUACCUCCGUCUUGUCUGGAUUUAAUUUCAAUUUGUUCAUCCUCAUCCAGUCUAUCAUAGCUAACAGGCACUGGAAAACUCACAGCAAUACAUAUAAGCUGUAUUGAUAGUAAAUGAUGUAACAAGUGAAAACAAUGCAGCAGAGAAAAAAAGUUCAACCCUUUAGCCAAUGAGUUCCAACAGCAAGUGGCAAAAUUGGGUCCCAAAACUAUGAAUUCUACUCAGACCAAGGACAAUGCUCCACAUCCUUGUGUCUUAAUAAUACGUCACUUACAAAUAGAUCCCAGAAGAAGAAGAAAAACAAAUUGCACAGGUAUGACCCAUCUUCCAUCCAAAGAGCUAUGAAAAGUUGCUAGCAGAAAAGCCUGUCUCCUCCCAGCUAUAGCUUUGAAUUGCCAGACAAAAGCAUAAACUACAAAACAACCCAUUUCAUGUCCCAAAAAGCUGUUAAUAAUAAUAAUAAUAAUACAGUAGAGUCUCACUUAUCCAACAUAAACAGGCUGACAGAACAUUGGAUAAGCAAAUAUGUUGGAUAAUAAGGAGGGAUUAAGGAAAAGCCUAUUAAACAUCAAAUUAGGUUAUGAUUUUACAAAUUAAGAACCAAAACAUAUGUUUAACAACCAAUUUGACAGAAAAAAGUAGUUCAAUAGCAGUAAUGCUUUGUAGUAAUUACUGUAUUUAUGAAUUUAGUACCAAAACAUCACAAUGUAUUGAAAAGAUUGACUACAAAAACAUUGCCUACUAAAAGGCAGACUGUGUUGGAUAAUCCAGAACGUUGGAUAAGCGAAUGUUGGAUAAGUGAGACUCUACUGUAAUAAUAAUAAUAAGUUAUUUGUAUCCCACACUAUCUCCCCAAGGGGACUCAGGGCAGAUUCCAACAUACAAUGGCAAACAUUCAAUGUCUCCGUAAACAAACAAAUACUGACAUAAAAUCCCAGAGAAACCCAUCUCUAAAUAAUAAUAUAAUAUUAAACCUUUAUUAGGACUCAGGGCGGUUUCCAACCAGUGCAAAACAACAUACAAUAUACAAUAACUUAAUACAGUAAAAGCGCAUCAUUAAAACAAUACAAAACAAUUCAGUUAAAAUUAGCAAUAAAUAAAGUUAACAUCUCUGCCAAGGUUUCCAGAAUUCAUCUGCCUUGUGGCGGGACAGAUGCUUUAGAUUUAGCAAUAUUUAUGAAUUAUUUUAUAUUUUAAACAAAAGGAAUCUGAACGAAAUUUGCCCUGGGAUAGUGUGGCGAAGCAGAAGAUUAAAUCCAGCAGACAUGACUCUUUUUUGACCUUGGGUGUCCUUAAAAGAAGUCAAAUAGGGUGAAGGAAUACCUUAAGCAGACAAAACUCCAUAGAAUGCUGGGGCUCUUGAAAUGGGGAAGGAGAAAAGUGAACUCAGAUACAAACCACAAAAUAUCUUUUAUCCUUCUGAGAAACUCAAGAGACAAAACCCCACUGUUGGCAAUGUCAUUUCUCGACAGUUAGGGAAGUGAGGUUGAAAAAUAGUCCAGGUUUAUUCUGCAUGCCCCAUGGAUGAACAGGGAUUUGUAUCUUAUUCUCCCAGGACUACAUUCAUCAUACUGUGUUUUUCUUUGUGGAACAAAAAUGUAGAAAUUAUCUCUGAGUACCCAGAGGGUAUUCAUUACUGAGUUCAUUUGGGAAAUGUGGCACAUUUGGUAUCGCAUUUUUGGCCAUUAAGUUAGUAGGGCUGCAGAUGUAAUUAAUCCCCAAGAGAAAACUGUAAAUCCUGCUUUUAAGACUAUGGGGAAAAUGGAUUUAAAUGGAUUAAUACUAUUGCCUAUUGCAGAUUGCCUCUGUUCUUGCAAGACUAAACUCAGCCUGAAAUAAGUAAUUGCUGAUGAUUGGACACUAGCUUUGAGAUUAAUACAAAGAGGGGCUUUUUCUCCAAGAUGAUAACCAAAUUCAUUUCAUACAACAGUCAGCACGAUUGGUCCAUGGUGUUUCACUGCAGCAUAUACAUAAAGCAAAAUACCCCAUGAAGGCAUCUCCCAAUAAUAAUAAAAUAAUAAAAUAACUAAUAAUUUGCUGCUUUUAUGAUAUUCAACCACCGCUGCUCUCCUCUUGCUAAUGUUAGGACAGCUCCUGAAUUUGCUGAUAGAUGAUUUUGAACAAAUUACCAUUUGUUUGUUUAUUCCAAUAUGGGUCUCAAAGUUGACAUAUGGUAAUACUGAUUUGAGAGCAGGGUUGCAUUAACAGCUACUUCUCAUUGUAGAUUAUCAUAUAUUUUAAUACAGGCAAAAUUGGCCUUGGAACACUGGUGCUGAUAACAGGUAAAAUGUUGAUGUCAGGUGCUGGGCUUGUUUCAAAAAGGUUCCUGUAAAUGUAACCAGCAAAAAAAACGUAAACUAUUGUGUAAAAACAACUAAUUUUCUUGAGUGUUUAAAAACAUUGUGGUAAUGUCUUUUCUUAUGGUAAAUUUAAGAAUCUGUUUUUGUAUGUUGUUUCUUCAUGUUGCAGUUUCAUUUGACUCCUAAGUCAAAUCCUGUCCGUUUCCAUGGAGGUUUUCUGCACUCUGAAGUGUUUCCUCUGCAGCUUACAAAAAUCAACAUUUCUCAUGCAAUUGCCAUCUGAACACAAUCUGUGCAUUGAUGCAUCACUGUGGCUGAUGUCUUUUUAAAAAUGCUGCUCAAGCCUUCCAUUUCCAAAUAAACUUCUUAUAAAAUGAGACUAGCUGCUCUGGAUGGUGAUUGCUUUGUGUAGCUGAUACCAACAUGAAGCAAUAUUCCCCAGAUACAAAGAACCUGUUGCCUCCCUGAAAUGACGUUAGUAUGGCAGUCCAUCAGCCGCACUGCAUAGAGUUAUUUUAAAACAAGCCUGUAUCAGUAAACCUUUUGGUAGCAUGAUUCGUUGUCUCCAUGCAUGGUAAACAUGGUUAGAGGUAGCAAUAGAAUUGCUGCAUAUGGUGAAUAUAUUUUCUAUCUGUGGCAAAGGUAAAGGUUUUCCCUUGACAUUAAGUCUAGUCAUGUCCGAUUCUGGGGGUUGGUGCUCAUCUCCAUUUCUAAGCCGAAGAGCCGGAGUUGUCUGUGGACACCUCCAUGCAGUUAUACCGGCUCAUGUAGCCGGUAUAACUGCAUGGAGCACCGUUACCUUUCCAUUGGAGCGAUACCUAUUAAUCUACUCAUAUUUGCAUGUUUCAAACAGCAAGGUUGGCAGAAGCUGAGGCUAACAGGGAGAGCUCAACCUGCUCUCCGGAUUCAAACCACCAACCUUUCAGUCGGCAAGUUCAGCAGCUCAGCGGUUUAACCCAAUGCACCACCGGGUAAAUAAUUCUUGUUUUGUUUGUGCCCUCCUAUUGAAGGGACCAUAAGCCAGAAAAUAGUAGACUUUUGCAUAUAUAGCUUUGCCUCUGCUAAUAUCAUAUUAGCUUCAUAUAGACAAUGUAAGCUCUUUGUAUGAGCCAAAGUAACAAAGAAACUGUGUCCCUCCUUUUCUCUUGCCUGGUACCCUUCUCCAGAAAGUACCAAGGCCAAAUGCUAGCUUGAGAUCAACAAGUGAGAUCAUAGACACCACUUGUGCCAAAGAGGUGUGGAGGUGAAGAAGACCCACAGUAAUUGGUCAAGUUUAGAUAAGCCGAGAUAUAUAUUCUUUGUUUGCAACGCCACACUUCGCGGCAGCCAUUUGCAAGUACAAACCUUUUGGGGUGUACGGCUGUCCCGCCUUCUCAUAGCUAUGUGAAAAUAAACUUUGCUUUUGUACUCUUACGAGACUAGAUUUUCUGUCUCAUUGCCUCCUGUGCCAGAACUCCUUUUUGAGAUAAAUUGUCCUACACUAUAAGAAUAGGCACCAAGGGGACUUGGGAGUUCUUUCCUUCCUUCUUGUUUGAUCAACAUAUCCACGCUAUGUGAAAAACUGGGAAGGAGCAUGAGCAACCAGAACCUUCAUACAACUCGAACUGCUGAAUAUCCAAGAGGACAGUGGGGCUUACUGGUUAGAGGGCUCGGAAUUAAGAGAUUCAGGGUCAAGUCUCCACUAAGCUAUGAAAUUCCAGCAAAUUUUAUUUAUUUUGUGUCAAAAGCAUUGCAUAAUAAAUAAGUUUAAAAGUGAUAAAAUAAAGGAAUCACAAACAGCUAAAUAGUUUUGGACCAAAAGCGGGCAACAGCAAUCGCAUUGUCUGUAGCUUUAAACAACAACUCCUCCAUGCAUGAGGCAGGGCAUUGUGGGCAAGCAUACAUAUGAGGAGUUGUUUGUUCAGCUCCACAUUCACACAAGGUGGAUGAUUCUUCCAGGUAGUGCUGUAGCGGAACCUUUGUGCUACGGUCCUUGUUGAGCGCAGUGGAGGGAUUGGAGACGGACAACUGGAAUAAUUCCAAGAAAGCAGUUUUAUUUGGCUAAUGGCCACUAGGGUUCCCCCUCGCACAAAAUAAGUGCUUUUCCCAGGGAGAACCCCCAGUGGCGGGCUGAGUAAAUAUUUAUACACACUACAGGGUUCGGGUUAUGCCCGCCCACAAGCAAAUUCAUUGGCUUAGAGUUGUGACGCUGCUUGACUUGGACCCAAUCAGUGCUGACCAGCGGGCCGGCCGCACUCUUUCUGUGCCGUGCUCACAAUCAUUCAGAGCGCCUGCGUACGCAUGCGCUGUUUGUUUAUCUUUAGCUUUCAUUUCUUCAGAAACACAUGAUUUCCCAGAAGUCACAUGUUUCUGUGAGUUUAUGCACCCGGGUCGCUAGCUGUCGCCAUCUCUGCCCAUAUAUGGUAUUUCCUGGGGUUCUUUAACCUCCCGCCUCAGUGCCAUCUUACAAGGUUGUCUUUUGAUCUGCAAAUGACUCUGGACUAGUUACACUAUGUAACACAAUUUUUGUUCCUGGAUUAUAAAUGUCAUUUUCUAACUAGUCCUAUCGUAAAAACAUGGGGAAAGUUUAUUAAACUGCAAAAACUUUGGUUUUUGUGGGACAUCCUGCAGCACAUUUUGCUAUAGGUUUUCAAUGACUAUCUUCUCAAGUCUCAACCAAUUUAACAUAAUUUGUGGCAGCCACAAAAACUAAGUUUCUGAAGUGUAACAAUUACUUUCAAAGUAAGUACCGCACAAUAAAACAGAAAACAACACUUUCAAACCAGGAACAGAAAAAAAUUCACAUUUUGUUACAUAAUGUAUUUUUUUUCAGACUGGCCUAUGCCAUAGUUAUCUGGUAAGGAAAAAAAUUGAAGAGAGUCAAGUAUUCCCAUUUGAUCUCUUUAGAAGAAAAGCAGAUUGGAUGGUAAAAGUAAAACACACACACUUAAAAAAAAAACAAGCCAAUGUAACCUACAUUACAGGUUUCUGAAAGAAUCCUCUACAUCAGUGGUUCUUAAUCUGUGGGUCCACAGUUAUUUUGGCCUUCAACUCCCAGAAAGCCCAGCCAGUUUACCAGCUGUUAGGAUUUCUAGGAAUUGAAGGCCAAAACAUCUGAGGACCCACAGAUUGAGAACACCUGCUCUACAUAAAGUGCCCAAUCCUGUUUAAAACUAUGAUAAGAAAUAAAGAGGGUGGGAAUGGACUUUGCAUCUGCUAACCACUAUGUGGCCAACAAGAUGUCUAUAGGAAGAGCAUAAACAGACAUAUGGCAUAUUUCUGUGUGCCAUACUGCUGAUACUGAAGGCGCUAGGCUGAAACCAACCUGAAGAAUUUGGUUUUGUGACUCCCACUGUUUCUCUCUUUCCACUUUGAAGAAAGAUAAAGGAAACCUCCACACACCUUGAUUGUUUACUGCUUCCUGUUUGGAGAUGAAUCUUUUUUCUCACAAGCUUCUAGUUAAAAUGUGACCGUUAAAUCAGCAGCUAUGUUAUCCAACUUUCAUCUUCAUCGCCCUGGAAAUAAACCUGUAAAUUCUGAAUGUGAAAUUAUUAGAUGUUAAAGAAUGGUUUUCAAAAUAUUUAAUGUCUCUUGCUUCUCUCUCUCAAUUACUCUCUCUCUCUUGGACAUGUACACACAGUUAAUAGGAAGAACGUAUUCCUAUGCCAACCACUGUCUCCUGAAUAUUUAAUAUAAAACAGAGGGAAAAAUAAAAAUAAUGAAGAUCGUGCAUUCUCUUGGGUGUGAUGUUAAAUCUUCAUAAAUGUAAAGACUGUAGGCUUGCUUCUAAGUAAAUUAAAGGUUCCUAUGUGCUCUCCUGGUGUGCUUCUCCAGCAUUUUCUGGAAGGAAGUCAGUGCAUGGUGUGUGGUUAGAUGUGUGAUUGGAAAUAAAGGCUGAACGGAGUAGCCAUAGCAAUGUAAUUCUGUUCUAUUUUUCUUCUCAAAAGGAGUGAUAUAUAAUUCUAGCAAUUUUCUUGCUGGAAGAAAACCUUUGGAAAUUGCACAGAUUUCAAAGGCUAUUUGAUUGUUCUUUGUGUAUUGUGUGCAAAGUGUUUUGUGCAGAAAAUGGCAUUUUGGAAACUCAGUUUUCUACGUGGGAAAUUAUAUUUUUUGGAAAGGAACAUUAUUUUCUGCACAAAAAUACUGACUUUUGCAAAAAAAAAAAAAAAAAAACCCCUAAAAUCCAUGCCAGGGGAUGGAGGAUGACUGAUACUUCUCACUAGCAUUUUGCAGUAAGAAGAAGUUUCACAAUAAAGCCACCAAGGAGCCUUCGGUGGCCUAGGGGAUAAAAGCCUUGUGACUUGAAGGUUGAGUUGCUGACCUGAAAGCUGCCAGGUUCGAAUCCCACCCGGAGAGAGCACGGAUGAGCUCCCUCUAUCAGCUCCAGCUCCAUGCGGGGACAUGAGAGAAGCCUCCCACAAGAAUGGUAAAAACAUCAAAAACAUCCGGGCGUCCCCUGGGCAAUGUCCUUGCAGAAGGCCAAUUUUCUCACUCCAGAAACAACUCCGGUUGCUCCUGACACGAAUAAAAUAAAAUAAAAUAAAAUAAUCUGCCAAAAAAAAUCUGGUUGUGAAACACAAACUGGAUUCAAUGGGAAGGAUCAGAAUUCAUGAUAUUUGAAUUUACUUAUAAGUAAAUGCAGAAUGUGCCUGUUUCCAAUAAGCUUUUAUUGGCAUAUAUGUAUAUCAAAUGUGUAAAAUGCAGAGUAUAUAAUGCAAUAGAAAAACAAUAGAAAAUCAUCACAUUUGUCAAACAUUCAAUUUAGUUUAGCAAUUAGUACUCAUAUUGGCACAGUGUGUUAAAGCGCUGAGCUGCUGAACUUGUGGACCAAAAGGUCCCAGGUUCAAAUCCCGGAAACAGAAUGAACACCCGCAGUUAGCCCCAGCUCUUGCCAACCUAGCAGUUCGAAAACAUGCCAAUGUGAGUAGAUCAAUAGGUACCGCUCCAGUGGGAAGGUAAUGGCGCUCCAUACAGUCAUGCCGGCCACAUGACCUGGAGAUGUGGACAACGCCGGCUCUUCAUCUUAGAAAUGGAGAUGAGUACCAACCCCCAGAGUCAGACAUGACUGGACUUAACAUCAGGGGAAACCUUUACCUUUACCUUUACUCAUAUUAAAAUGGAGAAUGACCAAGGAAGAACGAAAGGACCAACCUGUCCAUGUGUAUGUGGGCACAGCAAACUCCAUUGAUAGGGUUGGUUUCACUGAGAUCCAUCAAGAGAUAAACCUUAUUCAACUACUUCCCAUUCCACAGCUUGAAAUGCUCUCAGAACCAUUUACAUAUCAGUUAACAAUACAAGACAAUCUCUGCCUUCCAGCAUGUCCUCUUGCACGAUAGGACACAAAAGAGAAAGGGGAUUGAGAGAUAAAUAGAGAACAAGAAAGCUCUCAUUAGUUCUUAAUGCAAAAGGCAUGUAUUAUUAUGUGCCUUCAAGUUGUUUCCAAUUUAUGAUGAUUCUGAGGACCUUAUUUGUGACAGCGCGAGUGGUGCCAUCUAUAUGUCCAACUGUAAGUUGCAAGAUUUGAAUUGUAUCAUGCCUGAUUUUGCCUUUACCUUGUAAAUGUAGUUGGAUUGAUUGGUUAUUUAUAGCUGUCAAUCAAUGUUGUUUGCACCAGUUAUAUUGCUUCCUCAGCUCAAUUGUUUGGUUCCACCUCUUCCUGGAGUAGGACAGUGUUUCCUCCUUUCAUUCCACCAUCAAGCUCUCUACCAGAUGGACAUGAGAGACAGACUUGGCUCUAAAAGCCCUUGAUUAAGUUACCUCUCAGCACCAAUUCUGAGGUUCUUACCCUUGAGACUUAUGCUUCAUGUUCAAGGCCAACUUGAACGACAUUAAGGAGUCUCAAGCACCUUCAAAUCAGUCCUUUGGCAACAGAGAAAGAUUGUGUCUUCAAACAUAGGCCAUUUGGACUGAGGCUGAGGUUUGCUUCGGCAUUCAUAGCCAUUGAGAGAGAGGGACCUGGAAAAGCUUCUCAGCUACAGAGCUCCUUGGACUUAAGACAACCAAAGACUGUAAUGUAUAUUUUCCUUUACCCCUUUGAAACUUCCAUCUUAUUGCCUUAAAGAGAUAACCUUUUGUGAACAAUAAAACCAGUUUUUGAGUUA